ensembl:lncRNA
GUGACGAACCUGCAUUGAGUUUUACUAAUUAGCUCACCUGCCAGGUGGUUUUCUUAAUUAGUUAAUUGGUUGCAUCUGGUGAGUUUCACUUAAAAGGGAACCGGACAGUACAUUUGUUUGUGUACUGUUUUGGUGAAGUCUGUUGUGACUUAUUUAACAUCUCUUCCAGUUCACAGGUUAAAGACUUUUUGAAGUAAAGAGGAGCAUCUCAUCUGAACCUGAUGUCUAUCAUGGAUAUUUAACUGUAGUUCUGUGAGUAUCCCAACUUAACCAUGAAGCAUAUCUGCAAACUGUAAGUCAUUAAUUUCUCAUUAAUCUUGGGAACACUGAUGUAUUUUGGCUUCCUGGUGAGUUAACCUGUUACCUGAAGGUUGAUCUGAGUAUGUUUCAUUGGUUCAUGGGUUACUUAGGUGUUUGGUUUAUGUUGGUAUUAAUGAUUUGUUAAAAUGGUUACAGGCUCCAAGUUAUUGUUGUAAACUGGAGCAUUGGGUUGGGUUCUGAUAUCUUCAGUCUUCUUUCAUUCUACACUCCUGAGCUCUGCAUCUUCAUCACAUGAGUGUUGCUUUACUGAUGAGGGUGUGGUCUGAGUGAGCAGAGGUGCAUACUGGGAUACAGAGCUGUCUCGAGUCUACAGGUCUGUAGACACGAUCCCUCAGGGGAAACCGAGUGUUUGAGAAACUGUCGUGACGUCAGUUACAUGGACUGCAAUGUUCUUAAAGAUGGAGACAGGGAUUCAGAAGGAGAAACACCAGGGGUAGAUGAGGGGGGCUCCUCCUCUCAACGACUAAAAAUGUAACUUCAGUCUGACACAGAGAACCAUGGAACACAUUCAACAGUCCCCUCCAGGCAUCGUGACUCCUCAGGAACAGUUUCAUUUCCAAGAAGGUCUUAUUUGGGGCCAUCCCCAUAUGGAUCCUGCUCCUCAAGAGCCACCACCCUCCACUGGGUGGUCUUCUGAACAGAUGACCUCCUUCCUGUCCUCAGGCUGACUAAAGCUGCACCGUUUACAUCUGUGAAGGCCCCUCAUUCAGGAAACCACUGGCCUACAAAGACAUGACUUCAGAGAUGUUGAUUCAACCUGGGACACAUUUUGGAGACGCCAAGCAUAAUCCAUCACCAAUGUGGGACGCCACUGAAUAAUGUUGUGCAUAAUUUACGUCUCUGGAGACAUUGGUUGUUCUGUUAUGGGUGCCCUGGCAGGAGAGCUGGGGGGGGGGGUGAUGGGUGAUGGAAUGUUAUUUGCUAUGAGGUUUUUACCCUGCAUGAUUGUUUGGCCUUUUAUGGUUCAGUGGUGUGUGUGUUUUGGGUUUGACAUGAGAUGGAAGAUUUUUGAGCAUCGCUAGGGUUCUGUGUGUCUCCCACUCACACCUGGCAUGGGGUUCUACGUGCCUGUCCUGGGUUCUAUGUGUGUGUCCGGCUUGCUUUGACAGUGAUAAUUUUCAUACGGGGGUCUGUGGGAUUGGCUUGGGAUAUUGGAAUGGUCAACUAAAUCAUACCUGAUGGAAGGCCACACAUUUACUUAAGGGCCUCCAGUAGACAUGAAGAGCCCUGAGCAAUGCUCCGGAGCGUGAUCCAACACACUGGGCAGGAAGGAGAGUAUCCAACUCAAGUGUAAAAGGAUGCAAGCGGCGUGUUCAGAUCAGUGACAAACUAGGACUACACCAAUCAGGAUCAAUGGAGGAUGGACACCAAAAGGAAUUUCACAAGGAGAGUCUGACGUUGGAAAGGGACCUAAAUGGAUAUUCAAGAUGACCUUCCGACCUGUAAUGAGAAGGCUCUUCCUACCUGGCUGGAUUGAUGGAGAGCCCUGUGGAUCUUGUCUUGCUCUCAGUUGCACGUCUUCCUAGGCUGAACUGCAUUUGUUUCGGACAGGACUAGCUGAACGAUUGGUUCCCUUAAAUCAGAACCAAUCCGGGAACUCCAGCUAGUGCGCUCUUCGAGCUGAAGUUGUGCUCUUCAGCUGAGGAGGUAAGGAACCUUCACUGGGGCUUCAAGGCGUAAAGAGGAGAAUGUUUCAAAGUGUUCCAUGGUACUCUGAUGAAGACCGUUGUUGUGUUCCACUGGCUGCGAGGAAGAACCCACACAUCUUCCUCUUGGCCUUUCUCCUCUGAGAAUCCUGGCGCCAUCUUGAAGGAUAUUCCAGCUCAUGUAAUUGAUGUCACGACAGAUUCUCAAACACUUGGUUUCUCCUGAGGGGCGUGUCUAUGGAACUGAAGACUUCAGACAGCACUGUAUCCCAGCAUGCAUCUCUGCUCACUCAGACCACACCCCCAUGAGUAGGAUGCAACACUCUAGUGAUGGAGAUGUAGAGUUUUAUAAGUAAACGAGGGAGCAGACUAAGGUGAUUAGAACACAAUGGAAUGUCAAGUCUGUAAAUCUUUAAACCAUGAAGAUGGUUGGAUAGUUCAGGAAUUGGGCUUCUUUUUAUUAUGGGCAGUCCUUUCACUCAGAUGCCCACUUCUCACUGGAGCUGUACAUGUGUUGGCUGGCUGGCAUGAUUUGCUGUUGGUGAUGAGGCGGUCAGGGUAACGUUGCAGGGCUAUGGUCGGCUCUCUGUGAGGUCAACGUUUAGAUUUGCUCUGUAUGGUUUGUACCCUGAAUAAUUUAGAUAAUUGUAAAAUGUAGACACAGUUUUGUAUUGAAUGAUUCCAGGAUUUUAGUUUUAAAGUUGUUGUGGGACGUACAUGGUAGUUUGGUUCUUCGUAUGGUUUUGAGUGAUAUAACUUGUACACACUGGGUGCAUAAUAAUGUAAAGGUACACUGAAUAGUAUUAAUGACCAACAGCAACAAACAGAUCUCCUCAAGGUAAGUCUGUUGGCUGUGUUUUAAUGAAGACCAUCGCUGGACUUCAGGAUCUUCCUCCGUUCAGCUCAAGGUGAGGCGCUGGUUCUGUUUUUUCUUUGGUUGGUUCCGGCCGGAAUGUUCGGAUUCCAGUCAGACGGUUUGUGCUUCCUGCCGUGCAAGGUUCUGAGUGCGGUCACUUGAUUUAGUCCCAAUGGUUAGCAUAGAACGUUGUAGUCUUGACAACCAUAAGAAACCACCUGGCAGUUAGUUGGACGGGAGUCCCCUGAGGGAAUCUGACGGAACUUUCUGGAUUGUAUUUGCGUAACCUCGAGCCGUUGCCAACGGAAACUAUUUUUCAGUCGGUUUCCAUUGGGAAUUGUUGCCCCUAUCUUAAACAACUAAAGUUUGAUAUUAAAUACAUACUGACACGUACGUCGUACAAAAUGUUGAUAAUAUCCGAUGGUUGCGCCAAACUCUUAACCACGAUGACGUUGCGGGACUCUCACUGCGUACAAAACAGCGUUCUACUUGCGGGCCCAUUUUUGACAUCAGGGAAGGCUUAAAAUCAUUUCAAGAUGGAAGAUAAUUUGACAUUUCUUCAACGGAACCCAGCACCUGAAUAUGGCUGAGUAUAUUUGAUUUAAUAUCGAUACUGCUUAGUGUUCUUUGUUACUUCAGCCUUUGUACGUUCUAAUUACUGCUGUCAUUGAUUGCCACAGAAGUUAAACCCUACCCAAUGGAAUGACGUUAAACAACGACUUUGGUGCAGUGUUAACAACUGGAUAAUAUAAAAGCUAAAAUAAUGGCCGUCAUUCCCAAAUGUUACAGUAGAAGAUACUCUAGAACUGUAGAAGGUUAAAAAGGUAACAUGUAGUUUGUCCCAAGGUGUCUGCCUCCUCACCCAGAGCAAGACCUCCACCUCCUCACCCAGAGCCAGACCUCCACCUCCUGUCAGAAGUCCUCCAGAACAGACCAGGACUCUGUCUGAGGAGAGCUGCUGGAGGAGCUGAGACGCUGGAGGACGACUAGGGAUCGACCAACAAGGAUUCCUCAACGUGUUUCUGGAGCGGAGGCGAGCUGGUAGGGGAGCCGUGAAUCUGGAGGAUGACCAUCACUCUACCAACAAGGAUUACUUUAGGGCCAGACUCGCGCUGUUUGUUCCAGACCAGGACUCUGGCUGAGGAGAGCUGAUGGAGGAGCCAAGACUCUGGAGGACUCCACCAACCAGGAUCCUUACCAGGAAUCUGGAGGACUGAUGGAGAAGCCGUACAUCUGGAAGGCAAAUCCUGAGGACCACCAGGACUCUACCAUCAAGGAUUCCUCAUAAGUUUGCAUUAUCUGGACAUAGUGGACUAGACACAGCUGAGCUGAACCUCACCUGAUCCUGUUUGGUCGGGGGUAGACACACCUGAGCUAAACCCGCCCUGAUCCUGACAUCCUGCUGGUCCCGUCUCCUCAGUUCAUCUGAGCCUCGUCCUCCCAGAAGACCUGCUGAGCUCAGCAGUCUGAGGCUGAUCGAUCAAUGACCUCCAGUGGGAGUGAUCUUCUUGACCCCACAUGUAACCGUGUGCUUCCACACGCCUUUCCCUCACGUCUGUCACUAACCUCUCUACUUCACUACUCUCUCUACUGCUUCCUCUUUUCUUCCUUCUCUGUGGUUCAAACCUUUGCACGGAAGGCACGUCUUCCUGCCCUCAGAGGGUUUAGCGUUAGGGUUGAGAGUCAGGGCUUAGAGUCAGGGGCAGAGCUGGUCAGGGAGGACUGCUUUUAAACAAAAAUCUUCACUUGCUUUCAGAAUGGUGGUGACAUUUUGAAAAGAUUCAUUUGGGAAAAAAAUUUCCUCUGCUUUCCUUUACAAAAUUGUAUUAAACUUCUGUCAAGUGUUUUUGUUUAUAUAUUAAAAUCCCACAUUGACUUCUACAUGUUUGAGGCGGUUCAUUUAAUUGUCCUUUAACUUGGUUAAUGUCAAGCUAAACUCUUGCUAUUCAUUUAAUAUACAUGAUUGUUAUUCAGCAAUGUUCACAUAAUCCAUUUGUAAAAAUCUGAAACCUCCAUAUGGCUACUAAAUUCAAGCCUAUUCAUGUAUUUAACAAUGUACAUACUGCCCCGAAGGCCAUUCUCUGCUACUACAACACGUUCAAUACACCAACCCGUCUCACAUCAAUGUACUAUAGCUA